CGUGUGGGCCUCUGUUGUGGUUGUAUCUGCUGCAGUGGGAACGAUCCGCGGGGCUGAGGAGAGAAGAGAGAAGAGCAGGGACAACGUUGACACGGCUGUAUCAGUGUGAGUGGAGCAGUUGUCCGUGAGUGACCACACGAGGGCGCUGUUCUCUCCUGUGGAGAGACAAACACUGCAGGUCACUGCAGGCUGACAGGGACUGACCGGUGUGACAGGUGCCAGUGGAGGUGGAGUUGGAGCAGGGACACGAUGCGCAGGCUCCGGUCAGGGCGGCUCCCGGGCUGCGGUAGAAAGCGGGCUUACACUCCUCACAGUUGGAUCCCUGGGUGUUGCCCUCACAGUUCAGACACACUCCUGAAAG